rnacentral:lncRNA from 1 species
UGCCAUCUGAACUGAGUCCCUGAAGGAAGUAUUUACCAGUGAGAUAGAAUAUAGAAGAGGAUAUGCCAGAAGAAGGAUGAGCUGGGAGAGGAAAUUUUUUCUUCUGCAGAUAUAAGUCCCACUUAGGUCCUGUAGCAGCUUCUCAUUAUUACCUACCUGGGCCUGGGGGAAUGUAACAACCUGCUGGGUCUCUCCUCAGCUAUAGUCAGGCACCAGGAAAGCAGGGAGACCAUCUUGUUCUUAUAUUAAAUAUAAGCCCCAAGGGUGAUGUACACAACACACUGUAUUCUUUAGAGUUGUUUCAAAUGAAACAAAAAUGUGUGUGUUGGUAGGCAAAUUAAGUGAUUCUUCACCAUUUGUUGGCUCAGACUUGAAAUCUCUUUUCUACCCCAUUCUUGCCUGAACUUGAGUUUUUCCUUGUCUUUACAUCCACAGCAACUAGGACUCCAUCCCAAAGGACAAAAUGGCUUGCCCCAGGUCACACAACUAAUUAUAAAACUGGGAUUUGAAAACAAGUCUGUCUGUCCCUACAAUUCACUCCCCUAACGAUACACCAAAGAUUUAAACAUAAGACGUAAAACCAUAAGAACACUGUAAGAAAACCUAGGCAAUACCAUUCAGGACAUAUGCAUUUGCAAAGACUUCAUGUCUAAAACACCAAAAGCAAUGGCAACUUAGGCCAAAAUUGACAAAUGGGAUCUAAUUAAACUAAAGAGCUUCUGCAUAACAAAAGAAACUAUCAUCAGAGUGAACAGGCGAUCUACAGAAUGAGAGAACAUUUUUGCAAUCUAUGCAACUGACAAAGGGCUAAUAUCCAGAAUCUAUAAAGAACUUAACCAACUUUACAAGAAAAAAACAACCCCAUCAAAAAGUGGGCAAAUGAUAUGAACAGACACUUUUCAAAAGAAGACAUUUAUGCAGCCAACGAACAUAUGAAAAA